CACCAGGUUGAUUCUGCCUGACGUAGAUGCUAGUCUCUGAGAUUAAGCCAUGCAUGUCUAUGUAACAAGGACGAACAGCUCAGUAAAACUGCGAUGAUUUAGUCUGUCCGAAAAGAUAACCACGUGAAAAUGUGGCUAAGAGAGGACAGAAUAAGACGUAGGACUAUCAGUUUGUUGGUAGUGUAAUGGACUACCAAGACGAUGACGGUUGACGGGGAAUCAGGGUUCUAUACCGGAGAGGGAGCCUGAGAGAUUGCUCCCACGUCCAAGGACGGCAGCAGGCGCGAAAAUUGCCCACUGUUUGUAGGAGGCAGUUAUGAGACGUGAUGAUGAAUGCUUGGCAAAGAGAAGCAGGAGAAUUGGAGGGCAAGUUUGGUGCCAGCAGCCGCGG
rnacentral:rRNA from 1 species